rnacentral:rRNA from 1 species
GGAAGUAAAAGUCGUAACAAGGUCUCCGUUGGUGAACCAGCGGAGGGAUCAUUAA